rnacentral:rRNA from 1 species
UCCAGACUCCUACGGGAGGCAGCAGUGGGGAAUAUUGGACAAUGGGGGGAACCCUGAUCCAGCGACGCCGCGUGAGUGAAGAAGUAUUUCGGUAUGUAAAGCUCUAUCAGCAGGGAAGAAAGAAAUGACGGUACCUGACUAAGAAGCCCCGGCUAACUACGUGCCAGCAGCCGCGGUAAUACGUAGGGGGCAAGCGUUAUCCGGAUUUACUGGGUGUAAAGGGAGCGUAGACGGCGAUGCAAGUCUGAAGUGAAAGGCGGGGGCCCAACCCCCGGACUGCAUUUGAAACUGUUGGUCUUGAGUAUCGGAGAGGCAGGCGGAAUUCCUAGUGUAGCGGUGAAAUGCGUAGAUAUUAGGAGGAACACCAGUGGCGAAGGCGGCCUGCUGGACGAUGACUGACGUUGAGGCUCGAAAGCGUGGGGAGCAAACAGGAUUAGAUACCCCUGUAUC